rnacentral:rRNA from 1 species
UAAAAUGUAAAUAUUAUUGCUUAAUUAUUAAUAGUUAUGGUCUUUAAAAUUAAAAAAUUUGGCGGUAUUUUAGUCUUUUCAGAGGAACCUGUUCUGUAAUUGAUAAUCCACGAUUUAUUAUACUUAAGUUAUUAAUUUGUAUAUCGUUGUAGUUUGAAUAUUUUAAAAGAAUUUUAAUAUUCUAAAUUUUUUAUUAAAAAAGAAAUCAGAUCAAGGUGCAGUUUAUAUUUAAGGAGAAAUGGGUUACAAUAAAUUUAUUUAUAUGGUUAAAAUAUUGAGAUAUGUUUUAUAAAGUGGAUUUGAGAGUAAUUUUAUUUAAAUUUUUAAAAUGAUUUUAGCUCUAAAAUAUGU